rnacentral:rRNA from 1 species
CGACGUGGGUAACCUGCCUCAUACAGGGGAUAACAGUUAGAAAUGACUGCUGAUACCGCAUAAGCGCACAGUGCUGCAUGGCACAGUGUGAAAAACUCCGGUGGUAUGAGAUGGACUCGCGUCUGAUUAGCUAGUUGGUGGGGUAACGGCCUACCAAGGCGACGAUCAGUAGCCGGCCUGAGAGGGUGACCGGCCACAUUGGGACUGAGACACGGCCCAA